AGAGCUGCUCUGCUCACUGCCGCCUUUGCCUUCACGGUGAUGGACAGAGCUGCUCUGC
rnacentral:precursor_RNA from 1 species